UACGGAGGGUGCAAGCGUUAUCCGGAUUCACUGGGUUUAAAGGGUGCGUAGGUGGUUUUGUAAGUCAGUGGUGAAAUCCCGGAGCUUAACUCCGGAACUGCCAUUGAUACUGCUUAACUUGAAUCAACUUGAGGUGGAUGGAAUAUUACAUGUAGCGGUGAAAUGCUUAGAUAUGUAAUAGAACACCGAUUGCGAAGGCAGUUCACUGAGGUUGUAUUGACACUGAGGCACGAAAGCGUGGGGAUCAAACAGG
rnacentral:rRNA from 1 species